AUGAACGCUAGCGACAGGCCUAACACAUGCAAGUCAGGGGCAGCACAAGGAGCAAUCUGAGGUGGCGACCGGCGCACGGGUGAGUAACACGUAUGCAACCUGCCUGUAAGCGGGGAAUAACCCGUUGAAAGACGGACUAAUACCGCAUAAUACUAAAUUACUGCAUGGUAAUUUAUUUAAACAUUUAUGGCUUACAGAUGGGCAUGCGCAUGAUUAGCUAGUUGGAGAGGUAACGGCUCCCCAAGGCAACGAUCAUUAGGGGUUCUGAGAGGAAGGUCCCCCACACUGGUACUGAGACACGGACCAGACCCCUACGGGAGGCAGCAGUGAGGAAUAUUGGUCAAUGGACGAGAGUCUGAACCAGCCAAGUCGCGUGCAGGAAGAAUGUCCUAUGGAUUGUAAACUGCUUUUGCAGGGGAAUAAAGUGCAUCACGUGUGAUGUUUUGUAUGUACUCUGCGAAUAAGGAUCGGCUAACUCCGUGCCAGCAGCAGC
rnacentral:rRNA from 1 species